AACGAACGUUGGCGGCGUGCCUAACACAUGCAAGUCGAACGAAUGUAGCAAUACAUUAGUGGCGCACGGGUGAGUAACACGCGGGAAUCUGCCUCAUAGUUCGGAAUAACACCGGGCAACUGGGGCUAAUACCGGAUACGCCCUUCGGGGGCAAGUUUUUCGCUAUUAGAUGAGCCCGCGUUGGAUUAGCUAGUUGGUGAGGUCAUGGCUCACCAAGGCGACGAUCCAUAGCUGAUCUUAGAGGAUGAUCAGCCACACUGGGACUGAGACACGGCCCAGACUCCUACGGGAGGCAGCAGUGGGGAAUAUUGGACAAUGGGGGAAACCCUGAUCCAGCAACGCCGCGUGGAUGAUGAAGGUCUUCGGAUUGUAAAGUCCUUUUGGCGGGGACGAUGAUGACGGUACCCGCAGAAUAAGCUCCGGCUAACUUCGUGCCAGCAGCCGCCGUAA
rnacentral:rRNA from 1 species